rfam:Salmonella enterica subsp. enterica serovar Enteritidis str. LA5, WGS project CAGR02000000 data, contig: Scaffold10-Contig1
CUUUUUAUUAAAAAAUUAUCCUGAUAAUAACAAUAAAUCUGGUAAGGCACUUUCAAAAAAUAGCCAAAUCACACAUUAUUAAGAAAACCACUACAAUCAAAAUCGGUAACUAUCAGCUUUCAGGGGGGUCUCAGGUUAUCAUGACGAUCGGGGUAAAGGAUGAACUACUAUUGCGGUCUGAAUUGAGGGAGUUUUGAUAAAUUUUUUUGAUAAAGUUUUGAUAACCGUUCGAAUACUAAUAAUAAAAACGGGGACGUUAAGUCCCCGUUUUAGUUUUUA